CUGGGGGAGGGUAGACGAGUGGCGGAAACCCUUAGGCUCAGAGAAACAUCGAGAACCGGAAGGAGACCAUGGGAGGAAGGUAAAGGAAGCUGCCGCUGCGCGAUCCAGCCCCACGCCCCUCCCCACAGCGUCCCCCAGUUUCCUCACUUGGUAUUGAGGAGAUGACUCUCGCGAGAACUUCGUGGCUGGCUAACCGAAGCGGUAGCUCUGCAAUGACUUAAGAGCAGUUUUGUGCGCUCUUCCUGACGGGGUUCCGCCCCCAAAAUGUGCAAGAUCUCGCGAGACGCAGUAAGGCACCGGCUCGAACUGGGGCGGGCCACUGCCAGGAAAGCACCGCCCCUGAAUGCUUAUACUGGUGGUUGGAAGAGGAAAUGGAAUUCCCCGGACUGCACCCCUUGAUUUGCUACUGGCACCUGGAAGAGAUGUAACACCCGACCAUGGGACAUCAAGUGACUGUGUGAAUCAAACUGCCCAUCAUGAAUUGUUGUUAUUUGACUCAACCAAACUGUACAACUGGAUGAGCACAGGAGCAGUGCACUACAUAUGGGACUGGAACCAUGAAUGAGCGGUGACUCAGACUCCUAUAGUACCUGCCUCUAAUCCUUCAGCACUUCUCCCUCAACCCACAUAAACUGUCAUCACAAGGAGUUCCAUCUGAUCAGUUAAUGAAGAGAAAAAAGUAUGGAUAUUGUGGAUAUCUUAACAUCUCUCUGGCCAUUGGACCCCUAGAAACCUGUGACAAGUCCUGGAAGUUUUUCAAGGUUCAUCUUGCACCUUCUAGCAUGCGUUAUGUCUUACCAAAGCAUGUAGAAUGCUGCCUACUUCUCAUCAGUUUCAUUUAAUAUAAUUUCAUUACUCUAAUAAAUCAGUGUGAUGUUCUAUGGAAUAGCAAGACCAUCAAGGUCCCUUCAUACAAUGUAGAGAACAGGAGAGUUGAUGUAGCCUGAGACAAGACAGUAAGGACUUACUGUUGUUCCUCCUAUUUAAAUGUAGUCUGUUUCUGAUUCUCCUUAUAAUUAGAAUUGGGGUGGGGGGACAUUUCCAGAUCAAUAUCAGUAUCAUGUCAACAUGUAUAUUAAUUUCUUCCAAAGAAGAUACCACACCUAGAACAGCAACCAUAAUUGGCAUCCCUACCUAAUUAAAGUUUGCAGUCCACUGUCA